rnacentral:rRNA from 1 species
GACGAACGCUGGCGGCGUGCUUAACACAUGCAAGUCGAACGAAGAGCGAUGGAAGCUUGCUUCUAUCACUCUUAGUGGCGAACGGGUGAGUAACGCGUAAUCAACCUUCCCUUCAGAGGGGGACAACAGUUGGAAACGACUGCUAAUACCGCAUACGAUCUAAUCUCUGCAUCGAGGAUAGAUUAAAGGUGGCCUCUACAUGUAAGCUCUCACUGGAGGAGGGGAUUGCGUCUGAUUAGCUAGUUGGAGGGGUAACGGCCCACCAAGGCGAUGAUCAGUAGCCGGUCUGAGAGGAUGAACGGCCACAAUGGGACUGAGAAACGGCCCAGACUCCUACGGGAGGCAGCAGUGGGGAAUCUUCCGCAAUGGACGAAAGUCUGACGGAGCAACGACGCGUGAGUGAUGACGGCCUUCGGGUUGUAAAGACCUGUUAAUCGGGACGAAAGGCCUUCUUGCGAAUAGUGAGAAGGAUUGACGGUACCGGAAGAGAAAGCCACGGCUAACUACGUG